UACGAAGGGGGCGAGCGUUGUUCGGAAUUACUGGGCGUAAAGCGUGCGUAGGUGGUUCGUUAAGUCUGAUGUGAAAGCCCUGGGCUCAACCUGGGAAUGGCAUUGGAUACUGGCGAUCUAGAGUGCGGUAGAGGGCAGUGGAAUUCCCGGUGUAGCAGUGAAAUGCGUAGAGAUCGGGAGGAACAUCUGUGGCGAAGGCGACUGCCUGGACCAGCACUGACACUGAGGCACGAAAGCGUGGGGAGCAAACAGG
rnacentral:rRNA from 1 species